GGUCAAUGACCUAACGAAGAAACACAGAAUCAAGCGAGCCCUUCUUGCAGAACAGAGUGAGUUGCCUGGCAGUGAUUGUGCCUGAAAACACAGAAAAGAAGAGGUGUCAAGUGAAAGAGGACAAUAAAACGAGGUUUUGUUUAUAAAUUA
rnacentral:misc_RNA from 1 species